UCUUCGCGGGAAUUUAUAAAUUUUAUUUUUCUCUGUCAACUAUGUAUACAUAGUUGACAGAGAAAAAUAAAAUUUAUAAAUUCCCGCGAAGA
rnacentral:pre_miRNA from 1 species